rnacentral:tRNA from 1 species
GUCAGGAUGGCUGAGUGGUUUAAGGCGCCAGACUCAAGGGUAAAUCUUAUCCCAUAGCGGGAGUUAGGUGUUCUGGUCCACUGAUAUGGGCGUGGGUUCAAAUCCCACUUCUGACA